rnacentral:lncRNA from 1 species
GACACAGCUCAGAAGACUCAGGGGGACCCCAUUCGACAUGGCUGCAACCCGGAAGGCAGGGGCUCCGUGCUUCGUGGUGGGGACACGCCCUCAUGUUGCUUCCGGGGCCUCAGGGCGACCUUGCCUGGGGGAGCCUGGGCCGCCAUCUGCCGGGCCCUGCUGAGGAAGUAGCGGGCACAGCCCCUGAGCCCCCUCUCUGUAGCUGGUCAUCUGCUUUCCAGAAUUUGGAGUCGGCCCUGGAGACGGUUUUAGGACACUCCUCGCCCUUCCCAAUUUCCUGAUGCACCAAAAGCUCUUUUCCGAAAGAGAUAUUCAUUAGACGCCAGCCUCCAAUGGCACCGAGAACCCACUCCUGAAACGAGUGUGCAUGUCUGCAGUUUAAUCCACCAGAAAGACUCGCUUCAUCCCAGUGAGCAAGUGUCUCAAGUGGGUCGCAGGCUCUCGGCCCCUCUCACUGCAGAGUCUCAGCUUCCCUGCCAGAAAGUUCAGUCUUCUGGCACGUUCUGUGAGUCCAGGACUGCCCACCGAAGGCCUUUACACCUCAGGCGCCAGGGUGAGAGUGCGGCCCCCACCCCGACGUGCGCAGGGUUCUUGCUAAAAAUACAGAAUCGCUGGUGCAAGAAUGGCUUCAGGUCGGCUGCUGACGUCUCAGGCCAGACUUGCCUCUCUUCGGAACAUUUUUGAUAUCUUUGGAGUUGUCAGCUAUCCAGCCCUUGUGUGGGAAUUCUGAGACCCUGGAAUUGGAGAAGCCUGACGACGCUGGAGAUGGAGAUGGUGUUUCCGGGCGUGUGGGCAGCCUGGCCCUGGAGGCUGCGGGCUUUGGGCCUCCUUGUGCACUCGGCAUCCUGGCUCAUGGAGCGGAAUUAAAACCGCUCUCUGGUUGCCGUGGCAACCAGCCGUCUCCCCCCACAGCGUCAGGUUGAAUUUGUGCAGACCAUUUCUACCAAAGAUUUACGCCAACAAAUCCAUUCUGCCCUGAGCUGAAGCCUUGUUUGAGAGCCAAAUAAUAAAAUUAACAAACUUAGAACA